rnacentral:rRNA from 1 species
GACGAACGCUGGCGGCGUGCUUAACACAUGCAAGUCGAGCGGAGCGGCGAACGGGUGAGUAACGCGUGAGUAACUGCCCCCCUCUCUGGGAUAACAGUUGGAAACGGCUGCUAAUACCGGAUAGUGGGGGAUGACUCGCGUCCUAUCAGCUUGGUGGUGGGGUAUUGGCCUACCACGGCGACGACGGGUAGCCGGCCUGCGAGGGCGACCGGCCACAUGCGGCUGAGAUAGGGCCCAAACUCCGACGGGAGGCAGGAGUGGGGAAUAUAGCACAAUGGGGGAAACCAUGAUGCAGCAACGCCGCGUGGGGGAUGUCGGCUGUCGGGUUGUAAACCGCGUUGAGCCAGGACGCGGUAGUGGCAGAAGAAGCACCGGCUAACUACGUGCCAGCAGCCGCAGUAAUAC